rnacentral:rRNA from 1 species
GCAAGUCGAGCGAGAAAGGUCUUCGGACUGAGUACAGCGGCGGACGGGUGAGUAACGCGUAGGAAUCUACCUGGUAGUGGGGGACAACAUGGGGAAACUCAUGCUAAUACCGCAUACGCCCUAUGGGGGAAAGCGGGGGAUCUUCGGACCUCGCGCUAUUGGAUGAGCCUGCGUAAGAUUAGCUAGUUGGUGGGGUAAAAGCUCACCAAGGCGACGAUCUUUAGCUGGUCUGAGAGGAUGAUC